rnacentral:rRNA from 1 species
GAAGCCCCCCACAAGAACAGAUCUCCUGCCGCAAGGCUAAGACCCGUGGGAGACUACCACGUUGAUAGGUCGGAGGUGUAAGCAUGGCGACAUGUUGAGCUGACCGAUACUAAUAGGUCGAACACUUGACCAA